CACGUAGGGUGCGAGCGUUGUCCGGAAUUAUUGGGCGUAAAGAGCUCGUAGGCGGUGUGUCGCGUCGGCCGUGAAAACCUGAGGCUCAACCUCAGGCCUGCAGUCGAUACGGGCGGACUUGAGUACUGCAGGGGAGACUGGAAUUCCUGGUGUAGCGGUGAAAUGCGCAGAUAUCAGGAGGAAGACCGGUGGCGAAGGCGGGUCUCUGGGCAGUAACUGACGCUGAGGAGCGAAAGCGUGGGGAGCGAACAGG
rnacentral:rRNA from 1 species